AGGACGAACGCUGGCGGCGUGCUUAAUACAUGCAAGUCGAACGUGGUCCAUCCAGUCUUCGGACUGGAGAAGAUCAAGUGGCGAACGGGUGCGUAACACGUGAGGAACCUGCCCCGGACUCCGGAAUAACUGAUGGAAACAUCUGCUAAUACCGGAUACCGUCUGACCACCACCUGGUGGACAGCCGAAAGAUUCAUCGGUCCGGA
rnacentral:rRNA from 1 species